rnacentral:rRNA from 1 species
CUUGAACGCUGGCGGCAGGCCUAACACAUGCAAGUCGAACGAGUGGCGGACGGGUGAGUAAUGUAUGGGAAACUGACCGAUGGAGGGGGAUAACUGCUGGAAACGGUAGCUAAUACCGCAUACCAUCGGAUGUGGCCAGAUGGGAUUAGCUUGUAGGGGAGGUAACGCCUAACCUAGGCAACUAUCCCUCGCUGGUCUGAGAGGAUUACAAGCCGAACGGGAACGGAGACACUGUCCAUCCUCCUACGUUAGGCAGCAGUGGGUAAUAUUUCUCAAUUGGUGCAAGCCGGAUUUAGCCAUGCCUCUUGUAUGAAGAAGGCCUUCGGUUUUUAAAUUACUUUCCGCUGGGAGGCGUUACCCGCAGAAGAAGCACCUGCUAACUCCGUGCCAGCAGCCGCGGUAAUAC